rnacentral:rRNA from 1 species
AUACGUAGGUGGCGAGCGUUGUCCGGAAUUACUGGGCGUAAAGGGUGCGUAGGCGGUUGAUUAAGUCAGAUGUGAAAUUCCGGGGCUCAACUUCGGAAUUGCAUUUGAAACUAGUUAGCUAGAGUGCAGGAGAGGAAAGCGGAAUUCCUAGUGUAGCGGUGAAAUGCGUAGAUAUUAGGAAGAACACCAGUGGCGAAGGCGGCUUUCUGGACUGUAACUGACGCUGAGGCACGAAAGCGUGGGGAGC